ensembl:snRNA U6 U6 spliceosomal RNA
GUGCUCGCUGCAGUAGCACAUAGACUAAAAUUGGAAGGAUACAGAGAAGACUAGCAUGGUCCCUGUGCAAGGAUGACAAGCAAAUUGCUGAAGCAUUCUUUAUUUUC